AAACCUCUUUUCUCAAGGAGGAAGAUCUGACGUUACUUGAGGAAUAAGCAUCGGCUAACCCUGUGCCAGCAGCCGCGGUAAUACAGGGGAUGCAAGUGUUAUCCGGAAUUAUUGGGCGUAAAGCGUCUGCAGGUUGAUAUUUAAGUCUUUUGUUAAACCUCCGGGCUCAACCCGGAAUCUGCAAAGGAAACUAUCUAUCUUGAGUAUGGUAGGGGUAAAGGGAAUUUCCAGUGGAGCGGUGAAAUGCGUAGAUAUUGGAAAGAACACCAACAGCGAAGGCACUUUACUGGGCCAGUACUGACACUCAGAGACGAAAGCUAGGGGAGCAAACAGGAUUAGAUACCCUGGUAGUCCUAGCUGUAAACGAUGGAUACUAGAUGUUGUGUACCUUAGGGUAGGCAGUGUCGUAGCUAACGCGUUAAGUAUCCCGCCUGGGAAGUAUGCUCGCAAGAGUGAAACUCAAAUGAAUUGACGG
rnacentral:rRNA from 1 species